rnacentral:rRNA from 1 species
AUUGAACGCUGGCGGAAUGCUUUACACAUGCAAGUCGAGCGGCAGCGCGGGGGCAACCCUGGCGGCGAGCGGCGAACGGGUGAGUAACACAUCGGAACGUGUCCUUGAGUGGGGGAUAGCUCGGCGAAAGCCGGAUUAAUACCGCAUAAGCUCUGAGGAGGAAAGCGGGGGAUUCGCAAGGACCUCGCGCUGUUGGAGCGGCCGAUGUCGGAUUAGCUAGUGGUGGGGUAAAGGCUCACCAAGGCGACGAUCCGUAGCUGGUCUGAGAGGAUGAUCAGCCACACUGGAACUGAGACACGGUCCAGACUCCUACGGGAGGCAGCAGUGGGGAAUUUUGGACAAUGGGGCAACCCUGAUCCAGCCAUUCCGCGUGAGCGAAGAAGGCCU